CCGAAAGGGAGACUUCCUCCAGAACAAGCCUGCAAGCUGUAUCCAGCAUUUCUUCAUUCCAGUGCCUGGAAAGUCCAAAGAGAAAACUCCUAGCCUGACACAGUUUAUUACCCCGUAUCUUCACCUAAUAGAAUGAAAAUGUCAUGAUUCAUCAGGGAGAGUCACCAAGGGAUGCCUACCAGAGUUUACUGUCAUCAGAUACAUACAGCCAUGUUUCUGAUCUGGGACCCAGCCAGAGUUCCCAAAUGCUUCAGGAGAGCAUGGUACGUCUGUGUCUUCUCCUCUGGAAGCUUCUGGA